rnacentral:rRNA from 1 species
CUUGACAUCCUUUUGACCAAUGCCUAAUCGCAUUUUUCCCUUCGGGGACAGAAGUGACAGGUGGUGCAUGGCUGUCGUCAGCUCGUGUUGUGAAAUGUUGGGUUAAGUCCCGCAACGAGCGCAACCCUUAUCCUUUGUUGCCAGCGGUCCGGCCGGGAACUCAAAGGAGACUGCCAGUGAUAAACUGGAGGAAGGUGGGGAUGACNUCAAGUCAUCAUGGCCCUUACGACCAGGGCUACACACGUGCUACAAUGGCGCAUACAAAGAGAAGCGACCUCGCGAGAGCAAGCGGACCUCAUAAAGUGCGUCGUAGUCCGGAUUGGAGUCUGCAACUCGACUCCAUGAAGUCGGAAUCGCUAGUAAUCGUGGAUCAAAAUGCCACGGUGAAUACGUUCCCGGGUCUUGUACACA